rnacentral:tRNA from 1 species
GCCCAGAUAGCCGAAUUGGUAAGGCAUUCGACAUGUAAUCGAAAGGCCGUGGGUUCGGUCCCCACUCUGGGCG